AUUGAACGCUGGCGGCAGGCCUAACACAUGCAAGUCGAACGAGUGGCGGACGGGUGAGUAAUGUUUGGGAAACUGCCUGAUGGAGGGGGAUAACUACGGGAAACGGUAGCUAAUACCGCGUACCAUAAGAUGUGCCCAGGUGGGAUUAGCUAGUUGGUGGGGUAAAGGCCCACCAAGCCGACGAUCCCUAGCUGGUCUGAGAGGAUGACCAGCCACACUGGAACUGAGACACGGCCCAGACUCCUACGGGAGGCAGCAGUGGGGAAUAUUGCGCAAUGGGGGCAAGCCUGACACAGCCAUGCCGCGUGAAUGAAGAAGGCCUUCGGGUUGUAAAGUACUUUCAGCGGCGAGGCGUUAACUACAGAAGAAGCACCGGCUAACUCCGUGCCAGCAGCCGCGGUAAUUC
rnacentral:rRNA from 1 species